rnacentral:misc_RNA from 1 species
GAUGAAGAACGCAGCGAAAUGCGAUAAGUAAUGUGAAUUGCAGAAUUCAGUGAAUCAUCGAAUCUUUGAACGCACAUUGCGCCCGCCAGUAUUCUGGCGGGCAUGCCUGUUUGAGCGUCAUUACAACCCUCAGGCCCCCGGGCCUGGCGUUGGGGAUCGGCGGAGCCCCCCGUGGGCACACGCCGUCCCCCAAAUACAGUGGCGGUCCCGCCGCAGCUUCCAUCGCGUAGUAGCUAACACCUCGCGACUGGAGAGCGGCGCGGCCACGCCGUAAAACACCCAACUCUUCUGAAGUUGACCUCGAAUCAGGUAGGAAUACCCGCUGAACUUAAGCAUAUCAAUAAGCGGAGGA